rnacentral:rRNA from 1 species
AACGAACGCUGGCGGCAUGCCUAACACAUGCAAGUCGAGCGGACCUUUCGGGGUCAUCGGCGUACGGGUUAGUAACGCGUGGGAAUAUGCCCUUCUCUACGGAAUAGUCCUGGGAAACGGGGGGUAAUACCGUAUACGCCCUAUGGGGGAAAGAUUUAUCGGGGCAGGAUGAGCACUCGUUGGAUUAGGUAGUUGGUGCGGUAAUGGCCUACCAAGCCGACGAUCCAUAGAUGGGUUGAGAGGAUGAUCAGCCACACUGGGACUGAGACACGGCCCAGACUCCUACGGGAGGCAGCAGUGGCGAAUCGUAGACAAUGGGGGCAACCAUGAUCUAGCCAUGACGCGUGAGCGAUGAAGGCAUUAGGGUUGUAAAGCUCUUUCAGCUGGGAAGAUAAUGACGGUACCAGCAGAAGAAGCCCCGGCUAACUACGUG